rnacentral:misc_RNA from 1 species
GAAAUGCGAUAAGUAAUGUGAAUUGCAGAAUUCCGUGAAUCACCGAAUCUUUGAACGCACAUUGCGCCCUCUGGCAUUCCGGGGGGCAUGCCUGUCCGAGCGUCAUUACGCACCCUCAAGCCCGGCUUGUGUGAUGGGCCCCGGCGUCUCGUUCGCGAGACGGGCCCGAAAGGCAGCGGCGGCGUCGACCCGAUGAGCCCGAGCGUAUGGGGACUUCUGUCACACGUUCGCGGUGCGGACCGGCGCCUGCUUGACUUUUCUGAUUAUCCAGGUUGACCUCGGAUCAGGUAGGGAUACCCGCUGAACUUAAGC